rnacentral:piRNA from 1 species
UACCAAACCUACCAAACCUGUGCCAUACC